rnacentral:lncRNA from 1 species
UUUUUUUUAUUUUUUUUUUUUUUUUUGCCAUCUGAAUUUCAUUCAUAACAUUAGAACGAUACAAGGUUGAGAUACUAAAGCCGGCGGAAUACAAAGAUAUCCCCGGAAGCUAGGCCCAAAAUCGGGAAACUGGAACCCAAACACACGGGCUACUAACCAACAUCCGAAACUAAACUGAACACAUACUCUCCUUUAAAGAAACCCAGAAACAACCAAUUAAAGAUAAAAGAACAUUGACUUAAAGCACUAAGACUAGCCGGUUUUCUUGCAACGAACAACACAAGAGAGCAAGCAACGCGGAUGACUUCUUCAUGAAGAGCAUAAACCUCAUCUGAACCACCUGUUCACGAUGAAAACCACCAAACCACUGCCAUGAACUCAACACCUAAAACCAGGAUGUAACAACAUCCGCAAGAGCACCAUACUCAACCGCACCUUAAACCGUAGGCCUCCACGCCUCAACCUCUUUAUAUUGCCUCAACCAGACGAAGCCACGAGGAAACCAGAGACCAAAAGAAGACCAGGAUGAACACUAAAUGAUAAGGCGGGAGAAGGCCUUCUCAAACUUAAGAGACGAAUAGGUGGUCUGAAACCACCUACUUCUCAAGGACCAGAACCCGCACCUGCUCACCACACAUCACCGCGAAAUGCUCCACCGUUGCUGAAUCAAGCACCAAAUAAGACAAGCUCUAAAAUCCAUGAGAGAUUAACUUUUUUUUUUUUUUUUUUUUUUUUUUUUUUUUUUUUUUUUUUUUUUUUUUUUUUUUUUUUUUUAAAUGAA